GCCCCGGUAAUCCAAUUGGCAGAGAUGGUGGAUUCAAAACCCAUACAGUGUCGGUUCGAGUCCGACCCGGGGCA
rfam:Streptomyces qinglanensis strain SCSIO M10379 scaffold1, whole genome shotgun sequence.